GAUGAAGAACGUAGCGAAAUGCGAUAAGUAAUGUGAAUUGCAGAAUUCAGUGAAUCAUCGAAUCUUUGAACGCACAUUGCGCCCGCCAGUAUUCUGGCGGGCAUGCCUGUCUGAGCGUCAUUUCAACCCUCAUGCCCCUAGGGCGUGGUGUUGGGGAUCGGCCAAAGCCCGCGAGGGACGGCCGGCCCCUAAAUCUAGUGGCGGACCCGUCGUGGCCUCCUCUGCGAAGUAGUGAUAUUCCGCAUCGGAGAGCGAUGAGCCCCUGCCGUUAAACCCCCAACUUUCCAAGGUUGACCUCGGAUCAGGUAGGAAUACCCGCUGAACUUAAGCAUAUCAAUAAGCGGAGGA
rnacentral:misc_RNA from 1 species